AGCGAACGCUGGCGGCAGGCUUAACACAUGCAAGUCGAGCGGGCACUUCGGUGUCAGCGGCAGACGGGUGAGUAACACGUGGGAACGUACCCUUUGGUUCGGAAUAACGCUGGGAAACUAGCGCUAAUACCGGAUACGCCCUUUUGGGGAAAGGCUUGCUGCCGAAGGAUCGGCCCGCGUCUGAUUAGCUAGUUGGUGGGGUAAUGGCCUACCAAGGCGACGAUCAGUAGCUGGUCUGAGAGGAUGAUUAGCCACACUGGGACUGAGACACGGCCCAGACUCCUACGGGAGGCAGCAGUGGGGAAUAUUGGACAAUGGGCGCAAGCCUGAUCCAGCCAUGCCGCGUGAGUGAUGAAGGCCUUAGGGUUGUAAAGCUCUUUUGUCCGGGACGAUAAUGACGGUACCGGAAGAAUAAGCCCCGGCUAACUUCGUG
rnacentral:rRNA from 1 species